AAAAAGUUGGUGGGAAGUCAGAGAAAAUUGCUCUUUUAAGAGAGUUGUGGUUCUUGGACUUUUCUCACUCUAUUUUUGGAAAUUUCUUCAGAUUUAACGGGAAACAGCUUAAAAGUUGGAGGACAAAGAAGUUUGGUGAUAUUUCAUGAGUGAAAAGAUGUCAGACUCUGGAGUCAAUCCACACUUGGAGGGGAUUAUUUCAGAUUUUGAAGCUCUAAAGAGGUCCUUUGAGGUGGAGGAUGUCGACACUUCAUCUCACUCCUCCCCCGGAUCCCGCCGGACGACCAGCUCCCCUCACCGCAACGCCAUGUCCCCCACCAGCAUCUACUACCGUGACCUGGGCACCGCGGCCAACAACAACAACAACCUCAACUUCACCCAGCCCCGCUCCAUCAUGGGUGGAGGAGGCUCCAAGACCCCCGAGCCUGUGUCGCGCCGCUCCGAGCUUUCCAUCGACAUCUCCUCUUCGUCCAGCAAGCAGGUGGAUAACCUCACCAGCCCCGCCUCCUCACGAUUUGUGACCAGCAGCACCGUGAAACGCCCCGAGGUCCUGGGUCACUCUAAGACCCCCGAGCUGGGCCACAAGAGGGAGGUCACUUUUGCCAAGACACCCAGUGACUCCCCUGUGAUCCGGCGCAAUGAGGGUAACAGUAACAACAACGGGACCAGCCGCCCCCCCGAGCAGAAUCACGCUCGCAAGUUUGAGCCCCCCAGUCCCGGGGAUGUACGUAAACCUGAAAUCAGCAUCACCAGAGCUCCUGCGGAGAACAACGGCCACCACCCAGCGGUGCACCACCCACACCACCCCAACCCACACCACAACACCAUCGUGACCACCUUCCGCUGCUCCUCACCGAACCAUGGACGCAGAUCCCCCAACCCAGAAAGGUCAGAGGUCAGUCUGAGCCACAGCAACAUGUCUGAGUCCGCCAAGCCCCAUCCCCCCGGGCCUCCGGUCAAAGGGGAGAAGACCCAUGGCAGCGACUUCAGCUACGUGGGCAUCGAUGCCAUCCUGGAGCAGAUGAGGAGGAAGGCCAUGAAGCAGGGUUUCGAGUUUAACAUCAUGGUUGUGGGGCAAAGUGGCCUAGGGAAGUCCACUCUGAUGAACACCCUGUUUAAAUCCAAAGUGAGCCGCAAAUCUGUUCAGCCCAGCCCAGAGGAGAGGAUCCCCAAGACCAUCGAGAUCAAGUCCGUCAGUCACGAUGUUGAGGAGAAAGGAGUGAGGAUGAAGCUGACAGUGAUCGACACUCCUGGUUUUGGAGAUCAUAUCAACAAUGAAAACUGCUGGCAGCCCAUCAUGAAGUUCAUCAACGACCAGUAUGAAGCCUACCUGCAGGAGGAGAUCCACAUCAACAGGAAGAAGAGGAUCCCAGACUCCAGGGUGCACUGCUGCAUAUACUUCAUACCUCCCACAGGCCACUGUCUCCGGCCUCUGGAUGUGGAGUUCAUGAGGCGCCUCAGCAAGGUGGUCAACAUCGUCCCCGUCAUCGCCAAGGCCGACACGCUCACCCUGGAGGAGAGGGACGACUUUAAACAGACGAUUAGAGAAGAACUACGAGCCAAUGGCAUCGACGUUUACCCUCAGAAAGAGUUUGACGAAGACGCAGAAGACAGGAUCAUCAAUGACAAAAUCAGGGAGAUGAUCCCUUUUGCUGUGGUGGGCAGUGACCAGGAGUACCAGGUGAACGGGAAGAAGAUUCUGGGCAGGAAAACAAAAUGGGGCACCAUAGAAGUUGAGAAUAUUGCACACUGUGAGUUUGCUUACCUGCGAGACCUCCUCAUCAGGACGCACAUGCAGAAUAUCAAAGACAUCACAGGCAGCAUCCACUACGAGACGUAUCGCGUUCGCAGGUUAAAUGAAUCCAACGGCCAUUUCACCUCUCUUCCCACUGUGGAGCCAAAAACCAACGGUCUGCCCGCGGAGCAGCCCGCCGUCCUGCAGGCCAACGGAGUGGCCGCCCAGCACGGAGCCCUGUCCCACGAGAUGUAGAGAGUCCUGUGUGGUGCCAAAUUAUGAUUUCAGGACACAAUAGAUACACACACACACACACACACACACACACAUUUAUAUUCUGUUUACAUGAAUAUACGGACACACACACACACACACACACACACACACUCAUGCUGUGAAGACCAUUUUUGUUACAUAGAAGGACUACCUAACCACAGCUUUUAAUUUAUCAGGAGGUUACAAGACACAGGACUCAGAGUAAAUCCCAGCAUUUUGCUUCUGUUGUGUUUUCCCCAGUUACAAUUUUGAGCAAAGUCACGUCUUCGCUGCAGAUCCACAUAUUGUACCACUUGUUUUUUUUCCCCCCUCCUGCUUUUGACUUCCCUAUGCAAUCUACAUUCAGGGUUUUUUACAAUAAACCAUGAAUGUUGUCAGGUCACAGAUAGACAGAACCAAACCAAACACGUACAGUACAUGUCUCAUUAGUCAGGUUUGUGCGUUUAUUUUUUUAGCGCUUCCACUCAUUGUCAGUGCAGCGGCCAUGCAGGGAAAAUGUGAGGGAUUUAAGAGUGAAGUUAUAGGUACAAGAUUUUGAUUGGAUUCAAUCAGGAUUAUUGUAAAAGCUGAGGAGAAACCAUAAUUCAAAAUGAAGUACAGCAUGUGGGAUGAUAUACGAUAUUAGCUCUGAACUAGAAACAACUGUAAGUGCCACUGGCCUGCUCUACUUUGUGUUGUGGCGUAUAGAUUCUAGGGUUAAGUAUAGGGAUAUUAUAGAUUAGGUUUAUAGUAUUAUGGAGGAUAUAAAGAUAUUGCUGACACCUCUGCACUGCAAAAUAAACAAAAGAAAGCAAUAGCAGUGUGGAGCAGCUUACGGGGAGAAAAACGAGUCGUCUCGUCAUUAUUCUGUUGUGUUAUGAUGUUUUUAAAUCCCUUUUAUGCCAAACCAUCCCGUCUCCUUCUAUAUAAAGACAAUAUUGUGUAACACAGUCAUACCUUGCAUUUUACAUCGCUCAUUUAUUAUUGUGUUUUUAUCGCUGUUGUUGUUCCUGGUCUAAUAUUAUUGUAUGCGAUGGGGUUGUGGAGGAAUAUGUGCAACUGUUUUUUGUUUUCUGACUGUAAACCAAAUAAAGUCAUCAAAAUCAUUUUUUUCUGUUCUAAAGAGAAGCACAUGCAGUACAUAGAGUUGUUUUAUGAAUAGGUAUUUAUGUGUAUGUUUAGUGUAAUCAGCAUAAUUCAACUUUUCAUUGUUGCAGGUCUUUAAAACAGUGACGAUCUUUUAGCUUUAGACGGUGUUUGUUUUCCGUUGCCUGCACUCACACAUUAUGUCGUACCCUGUUGCUUAUAGGCUCCACUGUAACUGGUGCCCAAGGAGCUAACCUGCCCGUGAAGUGGUCUGUGCUUGUUCAUUCAAUAUUAAUAAUUACGACAGUUGGAGCAGUUACAUUUACAUUACGAGCGAUUUUAUCACAGGAUGUUUCCUUUCCACUAACGGGAAGAAUAUGUUCCAAACAAUCUUGUAUAACACCCAUAAAUUGACACGAUGCCACUGUAUUUGUAAUGUGGAAACAAAAACUUGCUUUCAUUCAUGCACACCGGAUGUUUUAUAUAGAGGCUACGUCUGAAUUCAUAACAUCCUCCUAAUUUCCUGACAAACGUAAGUCAACAGUGUUUGUUUUGCGCCUUCGUGUCCCAUUCAAAAUAUUUUCUGUACACGCAAAGAGAAGAGAUGACUAUUGUCCUUUAUGCAGAGAAAGUUAUUGGGUUACACUUUGUUUACUGUUGUAUAGUUCUUGUGUAAUUUGUUAUGGUAUCAUAGAUCAAGGUUUCAUCUUUGAUAUGCUAUAUCUCAAAGAAUAAAGAUUGAUAUUUUUAUUGUUUAAAGUCAA